GCGCCUACGGGGGGCAGCAGUGAGGAAUAUUGGUCAAUGGGCGGGAGCCUGAACCAGCCAAGUCGCGUGAGGGAAGACGGUCCUAUGGAUUGUAAACCUCUUUAGGCGGGGAGCAAUGCCGGGCACGCGUGCCCGGAGGGAGAGUACCCGCAGAAUAAGCAUCGGCUAACUCCGUGCCGGCAGCCGCGGUAAUACGGAGGAUGCGAGCGUUAUCCGGCUUUAUUGGGUUUAAAGGGUGCGGAGGCGGUUUUUUAUGUCAGCGGUAACAUGUCCG
rnacentral:rRNA from 1 species